rnacentral:rRNA from 1 species
GUGCUCCCCCGCCAAUUCCUUUAAGUUUCAACCUUGCGGUCGUACUUCCCAAGUGGCCCGCUUCACGGCUUCCCUACGGCACCACGGCAGUUCACGACUGCCGUGACACCUAGCGGGCAUCGUUUACGGCUAGGACUACCCGGGUAUCUAAUCCGGUUCGUGCCCCUAGCUUUCGUCCCUCACCGUCGGACCUGUUCUGGUAGGACGCCUUCGCCACCGGUGGUCCCCAGAGGAUUACAGGAUUUCACUCCUACCCCCUGAGUACCUCCUACCUCUCCCAGUCCCAAGCAAUGUAGUAUCCCGCAGACGCCCAACGGUUAAGCCGCUGGAUUUCCCACAAGACUUGCAAAGCCGGCUACGGACCCUUUAGACUCAAUAAUAUCGGCCACCACUCGAGCCGCCGGUAUUACCGCGGCGGCUGGCACCGGUCUUGCCCGGCCCUUGCUAACAGCCGUUUUUUAGACAGCUGGACAGACACCUAAUGUAGAUGCCACUCGAUGUUCCCCUAUCGCAGUUGCCUGCAUUGUAGAGUUUUCGCGCCUGCUGCGCCCCGUAGGGCCUGGAUUCGUGUCUCAGAAUCCAUCUCCGGGCUCUUGCUCCCACAACCCGUACUGAUAAUCGGCACGCCGGUACUUUACACCGGCGUCAACCUAAUCAGCCGCAGACCCAUCCAAAGGCGCCAGAGCUUUCAAUCAAAAAACCCUUCCAGUACUCUUGACCUAUCCGGUAUUAUCCCCAGUUUCCCGGAGUUAUCCCAGACCUUUGGGUAGGUUGUCCACGUGUUACUGAGCCGU